AGAGUUUGAUCCUGGCUCAGGACGAACGCUGGCGGCGUGCUUAACACAUGCAAGUCGAACGGUGAAGUCCCUUCGGGGGCGGAUCAGUGGCGAACGGGUGAGUAACACGUGGGCAAUCUGCCCCUCACUGUGGGAUAACUCCGGGAAACCGGGGCUAAUACCGCAUAUGAAGCCUGGCGGCAUCGCCGGGUUUGGAAAGUUUUUCGGUGAGGGAUGAGCCCGCGGCCUAUCAGCUUGUUGGUGAGGUAAUGGCUCACCAAGGCGACGACGGGUAGCCGGCCUGAGAGGGCGACCGGCCACACUGGGACUGAGACACGGCCCAGACUCCUACGGGAGGCAGCAGUGGGGAA
rnacentral:rRNA from 1 species